UAUAUGCCUCUGCUGCCUUGAGGCUGUGUGUACCUUUGUCACCAAAGCUAGCUGCAAAUCUUGAAUACUCAAUACACGCUUCUGACAGUUCAAUGCCUUCUGAUCGUAUUGUUUUCUCACCGCAAGGGAUGGCAAAAACAUGGUGUACUUCUUGGUCAGACAACUCAAGCAUGCCUUGGCCCUCCAAGUUGAUUGUGCUACUGUCCACAUCAACUCUAUACAUUAGAGAAAGCCUGGAUGUAAUCGCAGGACUACUGGGAGGGCCACUUGAUCCACCAGAACAGUCCACAUCACUACCCAGUUCAUCAGGAGAAUAAUCGCUGGGAUUUUCUUUGUCCAUAACCGAUGGAACUUCAUCAGUGCUUGCUAUAUGGUCCAUUUUGCUAGGUCUAAAAUGACCUACGAUGUUUAGAGACAAUGGGAGGGGGUGAGAUUCCAGAACAAAUAGAAACUGGACGAACUUAGACUGUGCUAACCAACCAAUUGCUUUGACACAAAGAGCUAGUAUGAAUACCUUGUUUGCGAAGGUUGAUGUGCUUCCCGGGCCAACUGGUAGCAUAGAUGGCGAGGAUCCGAACGAGAUCGAAGAAAUGGAGAUCCAAGCAGCUGCUCCAGGGGAGGAGAUAAGAUGAGGAGAGGAAGAAGACGAGCUAGUUCAAUGGAGUUUGGUGUGGUGUGGUAAGUGCGAGGGCAGGUCGUGGUUGGGAUGAGAGCAGAGGACAGUUGACAAGACAACACCAUGCCUCUUUCAAUAAUCAGGGUGGGUCCAGAUUCUUCCAAUGUUACUGUUCACAUGCCAUGCCAGCGGCGCUGUACCGCAGCAGUAAACUUAAUACUGUCCAUUAGUACUGAUGAUUGGGUAGCCAGC